GUGGAUGUUUUUCAAAGACAAUGAAAAGAGCUUCAUCAAGACCUCAUCAACUGAAAGAGCAGCUCCUUCAGGCCAUCGAUGCUCAAAAUAGUAUACAGAACACGAUGGCUGUAUUGGAUGUGAUAUGCUGCCUGGAAAAAUACCCCAUGACUAAAGAGGCUCUAGUGGAAACCAGGCUUGGAAAGUUGAUCAAUGAU